rnacentral:rRNA from 1 species
GACGUAGGUGGCGAACGUUAUCCGGAAUUAUUGGGCGUAAAGGGCGCGCAGGCGGCUGCUCAAGUCAGGCGUGAAAGGCCUGGGCUCAACCCGGGAAUUGCGCUUGAGACUGGGCUGGCUUGAGUGCGGGAGAGGAUGGUGGAAUUCCCAGUGUAGAGGUGAAAUUCGUAGAUAUUGGGAAGAACACCGGUGGCGAAGGCGGCCAUCUGGACCGCAACUGACGCUGAGGCGCGAAAGCGUGGGGAGCAAACAGG